UGGGGAAUAUUGGGCAAUGGGCGCAAGCCUGACCCAGCCAUGCCGCAUGAGUGAAGAAGGCCUUCGGGUUGUAAAGCUCUUUCAGCGGGGAAGAUAAUGACGGUACCCGCAGAAGAAGUCCUGGCUAACUCCGUGCCAGCAGCCGCGGUAAUACGGAGAGGGCGAGCGUUGUUCGGAAUCAUUGGGCGUAAAGGGCGCGUAGGCGGUCUUGUAAGUUGUGGGUGAAAUCCCGAGGCUUAACCUCGGGGCUGCUCUCAAUACUGCUUGACUAGAGUGUAAAGUAGGGUAGCGGAAUUCCUAGUGUAGAGGUGAAAUUCGUAGAUAUUAGGAGGAACACCAGAGGCGAAGGCGGCUACCUGGGUUACCACUGACGCUGAGGCGCGAAAGCGUGGGGAGCAAA
rnacentral:rRNA from 1 species